rnacentral:lncRNA from 1 species
AUCUAUACAUAUGCAUUUACACUGUUUUUGCUCUGCUAUAAAAGUCCGUUUCGCUCCAACAUUUUUGGUCACAAAUUUUGCUGCUUUAGUUUAAUCCUUAUAAGAAAUCAAUAUAUUUUCUGCACUCUUAUUUGUGUAAUUGAAGUAACUGCUAAUUGGUUUAAUUAUGGCGGGAAACUUAUGCACACAGUUUAAUAUGAUUGUUACGGCGGAGGAGUCUCUAGUUUGUAGGUAAUUUCAUUGAAAUUCUUGGUUUUUAGUAUUAUUUUAAAUAUUUAAUUGAAUAUUAAAUUUGAUAGUCACCAACUUAGGGUUCUUACUCUAUGCUCGUUAGAGUAUAGCUUCUUUAAUUCAAGUUGCUUAUGCAAAUGCUAUCGGAUGAUGCAAUUCUAAAUUAUUAUUAUUUUGCUUCUUGAAGAAUGUUGAAGUUCCAAUUCCCACUCCAAGUAAAUAUGAAGUGCUGCUAAAGUUAGAAGCCACCAGCUUAAACGCAUUUGAUUGGAAAAUUCAGAAGGGUGUAACUCGACCAUUGAUUCCUCGCAGAUACCUGGUAACCUUACUGUCCCGUAUUUUACAAUAAAAAACGGAUUUUGUUAUUUCACGAGUUUGAAUGGUUGCUUGAGAUUGUGAAUUCCAAACUGUGUUGGCUCAACCAAAUGAAUUUUAGGGGAGAAAGAACAAACUAUCUAACAGAGCAAUAGAGAGAGAUGAUGGGCUACCAACAUUGGUUCGAUACAUACAUAUUCGAGAAAGGUGUACCUUUGGACGGAGAUAAUUGAGCAUCAAGCUCAAGCGGCAUCUCAUCCGCUUGAGUAUCAAUAACGUGAGCAAGCUAAACGACAUUUGGUGUACACUUAGCCGCCUAUUUGUCUCCAUUUGAAAUAAAACUCUUAAUUCUCAUGCUCAUUUUCAAUAAAUACUUUGCACUUAAACUCAAAACUUUUCCCUACUUUUUAACCACACAUUCUCUAAAAAUCACAAUUCAAAACAUCAUUUUUCUCAAUAAUGGCCACUAAAUAGUGGCUUAGACUGAGACAGGGGAGAGAAAACAACUUCUAUCCCCAGGACACAUGACAUAGUGAGUCCA